UACGUAGGUGGCAAGCGUUGUCCGGAAUUAUUGGGCGUAAAGCGCGCGCAGGCGGUCCUUUAAGUCUGAUGUGAAAGCCCACGGCUCAACCGUGGAGGGUCAUUGGAAACUGGGGGACUUGAGUACAGAAGAGAAGAGUGGAAUUCCACGUGUAGCGGUGAAAUGCGUAGAUAUCUGGAGGAACACCGGUGGCGAAGGCGGCAUCCUGGACCAAUUCUGACGCUGAGGAGCGAAAGCCAGGGGAGCAAACGGG
rnacentral:rRNA from 1 species